GGCCGAUGAGGGCCUUUCUGUGCGGAGUUUGCAUGUUCUCGCCGUGUCCACGUGGGUUUCCUCCGGGUGCUCCGGUUUCCCCCACAGUCCAAAGACAUGCAGGCGUGGCUGCAGCCCAUUGCCGGAAUUGGGGACACCUGGGCCUGAUGUCUCCACGCCUUUAAAUCUGGCUUCCCCCUCAUCCCAGUGGAGCUUUCUUCUCUCCCAUCACCGUGCAUUGAUUUUGUUCCAUGCAACAUCAUAUUGUCCACUCAUCCAUGCAUGCACCUCAGGCUACUGACUUUACUGACGUUCACCCUCCACCGUUUUGUUUUGUUAUGUCUGUCUAUAUUGGUGUUAUUUUGUUAGAAUAAAUUACUUGUUAUUUUGGCCUUAA